UAUUAAAAUUUUUAUUUAUUUAUGUUGUCAAAAAGUGGUGUGGUUAACGGAAGAAUCAAAUAAUGAUAUAUGGUAUGUCAUAUGUACUUCAUGCUGACAUACAAUAAUUAAUUUUUAACAAUAGAAAUGAAUGAAUUUUUAAUA
rnacentral:pre_miRNA from 1 species